AAUGCAGCCAUUAUAGCAGGCCAUGAGGAGGAUGUUGGGAAAAGGACAUCCGUUUAUGUGCACACAGCACAUUCCUUAAUCCAGUCCCUCAUGGUACACAAAAAGAGAGGUUUCAAACAGAUUCCUACUGACAAGGACAUUAAAUAUGUUCUAAUCCCUGAGGGUCCAAGAGACUACAGCUUUCUUGAGUCCCUUAUGAAGAAUAGAAGAAUACCAUCAGGAGCAUAUCGUGGACGAACGCCAAGAAACAGAAAAGUUGCAGAAUUAACCACACAGAGUUGCAGUUACCAAACGAGAAGCUCCACACUUUUUUUUUGGAGUGUACAUACACUGGCAGCUCCGAAGGCUGCUCAAAAUGCCAUAGGGUUUUUACAUAGGGUCUUUAUCUUAUUUUUAAUUUAAAUAAAAUGCAGUUUUCUUACCGGCCAAUGGUGAUUCUGAAAUAAACAUGCCAGGAUCCUACUGUUAGGUAUAUACUAAUAGGGAAACUACUACUGUAACGAACACAACUUUUAUGCACAUGAGAUUGCCAGAUAAACAGAGCAGUCUUAUUUCGGUGUUCUUAUUAAUGUUGUGGUGAUUUCAGAAGUUAGCUUCGCACAUUCAAUUUAACAUCAAG